CAGCCGCCACGGUAAUACGUAGGUCCCGAGCGUUGUCCGGAUUUAUUGGGCGUAAAGGGAGCGCAGGCGGGCAUGUAAGUCUUUCUUAAAAGUUCGGGGCUCAACCCCGUGAUGGGAAAGAAACUACAUGUCUUGAGUACAGGAGAGGAAAGCGGAAUUCCCAGUGUAGCGGUGAAAUGCGUAGAUAUUGGGAGGAACACCAGUGGCGAAGGCGGCUUUCUGGACUGCAACUGACGCUGAGGCUCGAAAGCCAGGGGAGCGAACGGGAUUAGAUACCCGAGUAGUCCCUGUCUCUUAUACA
rnacentral:rRNA from 1 species